rnacentral:rRNA from 1 species
GUCGACGGAGCACCUUCGAAAGAGACUUCGGUCAAUGGAAAAGAAUGCUUAGUGGCGGACGGGUGAGUAACGCGUGAGGAACCUGCCUUUCAGUGGGGGACAACAGUUGGAAACGACUGCUAAUACCGCAUAACGUACGGGUAUCGCAUGGUAUCUGUGCCAAAGAUUUAUCGCUGAGAGAUGGCCUCGCGUCUGAUUAGCUAGUUGGUAAGGUAACGGCCUACCAAGGCGACGAUCAGUAGCCGGACUGAGAGGUUGGCCGGCCACAUUGGGACUGAGAUACGGCCCAGACUCCUACGGGAGGCAGCAGUGGGGAAUAUUGGGCAAUGGGCGAAAGCCUGACCCAGCAACGCCGCGUGAAGGAAGAAGGCUUUCGGGUUGUAAACUUCUUUUGACAGGGAAGAGCAGAAGACGGUACCUGUCGAAUAAGCCACGGCUAACUACGUGCCAGCAGCCGCGGUAAUACGUAGGUGGCAAGCGUUGUCCGGAUUUACUGGGUGUAAAGGGCGUGUAGCCGGGCUGACAAGUCAGAUGUGAAAUCCGGGGGCUCAACCCCCGAACUGCAUUUGAAACUGUUGGUCUUGAGUAUCGGAGAGGCAGGCGGAAUUCCUAGUGUAGCGGUGAAAUGCGUAGAUAUUAGGAGGAACACCAGUGGCGAAGGCGGCCUGCUGGACGACAACUGACGGUGAGGCGCGAAAGCGUGGGGAGCAAACAG